CUCGCCUACAUGAAGUCGGAAUUGCUAGUAAUCGCGGAUCAGCAUGCCGCGGUGAAUACGUUCCCGGGCCUUGUACACACCGCCCGUCACACCAUGGGAGUCGGUAACACCCGAAGCCUGUAGUCUAACCGCAAGGGGGACGCAGUCGAAGGUGGGAUUGAUGACUGGGGUGAAGUCGUAACAAGGUACC
rnacentral:rRNA from 1 species